rnacentral:rRNA from 1 species
GCGGGAAAAGCUCAAAUUUAAAAUCUGGUGGUCUUUGGCCAUCCGAGUUGUAAUUUAGAGAAGCGUCUUCCGCGCUGGACCGUGCACAAGUCUCCUGGAAUGGAGCGUCAUAGAGGGUGAGAAUCCCGUCUUUGGCAUGGAAUCCCAGGGCUUCUGUGAUGCGCUCUCGACGAGUCGAGUUGUUUGGGAAUGCAGCUCAAAAUGGGUGGUGAACUCCAUCUAAAGCUAAAUAUUGGCGAGAGACCGAUAGCGAACAAGUACCGUGAGGGAAAGAUGAAAAGCACUUUGGAAAGAGAGUGAAACAGUACGUGAAAUUGUUGAAAGGGAAACGCUUGAAGUCAGUCGCGUCGACCGAGACUCAGCCUUGCCUCGGCUUGGUGUACUUCUCGGCUGACGGGUCAGCAUCGAUUUCGAUCCUCGGAUAAUGGCAAGGGAAAGGUAGCACCUUUUUAGGUGUGUUAUAGUCCUCUGUCGCAUGUGAGGGUCGGGAUCGAGGAACUCAGCACGCACCUCAGGGUGUCGGGGCCUUGGCCCACGUUUACGUGCUUAGGAUGCUGGCGUAAUGGCUUUAAACGACCCGUCUUGAAACACGGACCAAGGAGUCUAACAUACCCGCGAGUGUUCGGGUGGAAAACCCGUGCGCGUAAUGAAAGUAAAAGUUGGGACCUCUGUCGCGGAGGGCACCGACGCCCGGACCAGACCUUCUGUGACGGCUCUGCGGUAGAGCGUGUAUGUUGGGACCCGAAAGAUGGUGAACUAUGCCUGAAUAGGGUGAAGCCAGAGGAAACUCUGGUGGAGGCUCGUAGCGAUUCUGACGUGCAAAUCGAUCGUCAAAUUUGGGUA